rnacentral:lncRNA from 1 species
CGGCACGCACAUGCAAAAGGGCUUUUUUAUUUUUUUUCUUUAAAGAAAAAAGCUGCUUCCUAAGGCUUGUGCAACAGACGCCUGCCCACUAGGAAGCGAAACAAAAUCGCCGCAGUCUUUUCAAGCAUCAGCUGACGGAAAGUCUGGAUGUCCUGCCCUUGCCCUGGGAUAACUCCGCCACUGGGUUAAACUCAAGCCGCCUCCCGCACCUCCCUGUUCGCUAGCGAAACGCUGGCUGGAGGUGGAACGGGCACAAGGCGCUCCGCGAGCGGCAAGGCCAGCGGGAAGCACGCGCAAAGCGAUACAGCGGAGCGGAGAACGGCGAGCCCGUGCCCUUGCCAGGCGGCAACCAGGCGCGCAGCAGCGGAGGCUGUCGCAGCCGCAGGGCUGCAUCGUGACGGCGGCGCARCCCAGCCCAGCGGAGCCUUUCCCGCGGGCGCUGCGCGUUUCACAGCGGGGUCGCGGCUGCAGCCCGCGGCUGGAGCUGCCCCCGGCGCUCCUUCCUCGGGGCGGGUCAACGCCGAGGCCGCUCCCGUGCGGCGCAAAGCGUGCAGCAGACGAAGCUCUCCGGCACGGUGAGCAUGGGAAAGUUUCAGUCGUGAAUGGUUUAAGGCAGUCGGCAGCUAAAGACCARGGGAUCUCUGCUUUAUAUAUAGUCGUGCCUUCCUUUCUGCUCAAGAUCACGCUCUAUAAAUACCUUCAAGGUAACGGUAUAAAUGAAGGAAGGGAAUUAUUCGCAGUCUCCAAAGAUGGCAGGAGACACAGCAGUGUCCUGAAGCUAUGGCAGGGAAGAUUUAGGCUGGAUCACGCAUGGCAGGAUGGAAAAGGGAGGGGGGAAAAACAGAGAGAAUAUCUCUAAUGCAAGCGGACAAGGGGGCGAAGAGCAGAGGCGGCCAGGCAUGCGCGGGGGGCGAGCCAGACGCGAGGGAUCAGCCCCCCAGAUGGACGGUUUUCCAACCCGGCUCCGGACGGGAGCCGGACGGCUCCUCCCGCAYGGGGCGUCAGCGGUGCAGGGCGCGGGCUCCGCUCUCC